UUCAUUUUCUCUCAAAAUCCUCUUACUUCUCACUACCUUGGCUGAGUACCCCAUGUGCUCUUCUAUGAAUUUCUUUCAUCAAUUUCCCACCUAAACACUCACAUCACACCUCUUUCUUCUAUACACAUAAGUUUAGGUUGUUGAGUGUUGAGUUUGAAGAUAGAGAAAUGCUAGACAAAGCUAGAACAAAUCAAAUAGGAAAGACUAUCCAAGUGUUUGAAGAGCUAGUCACUUAGAACACCAUCAAAGCCAUCAAGAGGUAAGUGAAAGGGCGAAGGGGAGCAGUGAGCAGCAGAGACUACUUGCUGGAGAGUACAUGUGGCCCGAACUUUGGGGAAUGUUUCGCGAAAAUGUCUUUUGUUUGUUCUAAAUUCUUAAGAGCAGAAGUAAUUGGCUAAGUGCGUGCAAACAACUUUCUCUUGUUUAAUUUUUUUUAUGUGUAUUUUUGGGAUAUGUUUAUAAUGAAAAUGCUAUUUUUUGCAUUGUUUUUGGUCUUGUAUUUUUUUUAUCUUUACAAAAAGGAGAUAAACAAUGGCUGGGAGCCAAGCAGAGCAAAGGAGCUGCAGUUUGGGCUUGGGCUACCGCACAGGCAAGGAGCCAGAGGGAUCAACGGUAGCUCCUGGUGCAUGGAGGCAAGGAUACAGUCCCACUCCUCAUUCUCCUUGUUUUCUUCUCCUCUUUCUUGCAGAAUUUUUACAAUUCAAUAUUCAAAAUAAAAUUACGAAAAUUCCUAUUCUCCAAAACUUGCUUAUGUAAUGCCCCGUGUUUUGGAA